rnacentral:rRNA from 1 species
CGGGUUGUAGCUGGCCGAAAGGCAUGUGCACACCCUUAAACCAAACCAACCACCUGUGCACCUUUUGUAGGUUGGGUCUUCGGGCCCUUCCUAUGUAUCACACAAACCAAAUGUAUGUCUAUUGAAUGUAAUCCGAAGCGUGGCAACACGUUUUAAAACUUAAAACAACUUUCAACAACGGAUCUCUUGGCUCUCGCAUCGAUGAAGAACGCAGCGAAAUGCGAUAACUAAUGUGAAUUGCAGAAUUCAGUGAAUCAUCGAGUUUUUGAACGCACCUUGCGCUCCUUGGUAUUCCUUGGAGCAUGCCUGUUUGAGUGUCAUGAAAUUCUCAACUCUUCCAACCUUUGCUGGUCUGGUCGAGCUUGGACUUGGAGGUAUAUUGCUGGCCGCAAGGUCGGCUCCUCUUGAAUUUAUUAGCUGAACCCGCAGUGGAUCGGUUGCUCGGUUUGAUAACAAUGUCUAUGCCGUCUUCCGUGAAGCCUCGAAAGUGGGAUUCGCUUCCAAUCGUCUUCGGACAUUGCCUUCGGGCGAUCAUUGACCAUUUUGACCUCAAAUCAGGUAGGACU